GGGGAUGUCAAGGUUUCGACACGAAUAAUUGACUCUCAAAGGCAGUGGGGUUUGCCCCUUAUAGCUAUCGAGGCCGCUUAAAUGCAGACUCACAAGAAGAUAACGUUAACUUAGACGAAGCAUUCCUAGUUAACCAAUUGUCAACACAAAACAACCUUAACUACGCUUUUGUAGCCUAGGCCUUUGUGUCUUAAGGUAUUAAGGUUAGAACACUUACCUUGAUACAUUAGAAUAAGUGUUUAUAUUAAGCUGAUGUCUAUAGGCUUAAUGAAAUUAUAGACUUAGUUAUAUUCAGGCUGUUCUAAAGCCUAUGUAAAUAUAAUGAAAUGCUCAAUUUAGAACUAAACUGUAGAAUUUGCCAGAAGAUUAUUUAUGGAAAUGGGUUCAACUCCCAUCAUCUCCACCA
rnacentral:tmRNA from 1 species